rnacentral:rRNA from 1 species
AGUGAACGCUGGCGGUAGGCCUAACACAUGCAAGUCGAACGGCAGCACAGUAAGAGCUUGCUCUUACGGGUGGCGAGUGGCGGACGGGUGAGGAAUACAUCGGAAUCUACUUUUUCGUGGGGGAUAACGUAGGGAAACUUACGCUAAUACCGCAUACGACCUACGGGUGAAAGCAGGGGAUCUUCGGACCUUGCGCGAUUGAAUGAGCCGAUGUCGGAUUAGCUAGUUGGCGGGGUAAAGGCCCACCAAGGCGACGAUCCGUAGCUGGUCUGAGAGGAUGAUCAGCCACACUGGGACUGAGACCCGGUCCAGACUCCUACGGGAGGCAGCAGUGGGGAAUAUUGGACAAUGGGCGCAAGCCUGAGCCAGCCAUACCGCGUGGGUGAAGAAGGCCUUCGGGUUGUAAAGCCCUUUUGUUGGGAAAGAAAAGCAGCAGGUUAAUACCCCGCUGUUCUGACGGUACCCAAAGAAUAAGCACCGGCUAACUUCGUG